UGAGACACUAAGCUUGAAAAAUUAUUUUAUUUUUAACUCCUGGCAUAGAGAGAGUACACAGUUUUCUCCAUGCGUUCCUACACAGUGCUGAUUUCUGUAGUGCUUGCGCUUAAAUUUACAUAAAUAAUACACCUGAUUCUGCAGGGGGGGAACAACUCUAUCAUCAGGAGAACUGAAAUUUGCCAAUGAUCAGGUAAGUGACUCCAGUGACAAGUUAAGGUGGUUUUCUUCAGUUGACAAUUAAAAAUAAACCCAGACCCUCCCAUUUCACACCUCCCCUUAUUUCUCAGGAUUAAGGGAGGGUUGAGAAGGAAGUACUGAUACACUUGUCCAGUCACAAGAGGAGUGGAUUCUAGGGGAGGCAGUGUAAAACCAAGAUCAUGUUUCGUGCCACAGUGAAGUGUCCAGUAAGGAACUGGAAGUUGGGACCAGCUAUAGAAACAUUGCACUGGAUGCAAUCGGACAUUAUUUCUUUUUAAUUAAUUUCUGCUUGGAGCUGAAAUAGUUCGAACAUGUUUUUUUGUACUCUGAUCUUGAGAUAAACUGGAAUUAGAAAUGGUCUGUAGAGGAUGUCUUUGCCAGGCUCUGAAGACCCAUAUAACACUUGAGGAAUGUUGAAGCAACUAGAUGGUGGAGAUACUGUGACCAGAGUGCAGGAAGGUAACCUCACUGAUUCCCUUACGAAGUAGUGGUGUAGGUGACCAGCAUGAGGAGCUGAAAAUGGUCAGGUCAAGCACCACAGCAUGUGCAAGAUCAAGAAAUCAGUAUUAUCCUAGAGUCCAUCCCUAAUUGCUGAAGGGGGAGAAACCUAAUCUAUCAGGGCCAUUUAUCUCAAUCAAUAUAUGUUCCUUCACUCCCCACAGUCCCCAUUCAGCAAACAUUUCCUCACAGCCAAAUGGGAAGCCUUUGCUUAAUGCUCAGUAUCGAGCUGAUCUUCAUUUCUGAACUAAUUGCUUGUGUGUUUCAGACUGGGGUAAGAAAUGGGGAUGUGAAGCAGCUGCAUGCAUAUACGAGGGAGAGGAGAGGAGAGGAGAGGAGCAGCCCCCCCGGGGAGCGGGCUGGACUGGAGCCUGUCGGCAGCACAAGUGCAGGUGCCGCCACGCUCGGCUGGUCCCUGUGGCUCGGCCCCUUUUGUCUUGCUGCUUCCCGGCCGGGGUCUCCUAGCAACUGUGCUGACAGCCAGGCUGGGGAGGCACAGACUCAGCACUCGCUGUCUUCAGAGUGUUCAUCCCCAUCUCCUUCCACUCAAAAGCCCUCUCUGGAUCUCUCCAGGCACCAUGUGCCAGACCCUGGAGAUCUGUGUGCUCGGCAAGGGACCUCCCCACCCGCUCUCAAAUACUUGCAGAAUGUUUGAUAUUGACAUGCCAGAGCUAUGCACAAGAAUUGUCAACAGGGGCUUUGUAUCUCUCCCAGAUAAACAUUGCUUGUGUUCAUA